UACGUAGGGGGCGAGCGUUGUCCGGAAUGACUGGGUGUAAAGGGAGCGUAGGCGGCUUAGUAAGUCAGAAGUGAAAGCCCGCAGCUCAACUGCGGGACUGCUUUUGAAACUGCCAGGCUAGAGUGUCGGAGAGGUAAGUGGAAUUCCUAGUGUAGCGGUGAAAUGCGUAGAUAUUAGGAGGAACACCAGUGGCGAAGGCGGCCUACUGGGCUUUAACUGACGCUGAAGCACGAAAGCGUGGGUAGCAAACAGG
rnacentral:rRNA from 1 species